rnacentral:rRNA from 1 species
GACGAACGCUGGCGGCGCGCCUAACACAUGCAAGUCGAACGGAGCUUAGAGAGCUUGCUUUUUAAGCUUAGUGGCGAACGGGUGAGUAACGCGUGAGUAACCUGCCCUGGAGUGGGGGACAACAGUUGGAAACGACUGCUAAUACCGCAUAAGCCCACGGUACCGCAUGGCACUGAGGGAAAAGGAUUUAUUCGCUUUAGGAUGGACUCGCGUCCAAUUAGCUAGUUGGUGAGGUAACGGCCCACCAAGGCGACGAUUGGUAGCCGGACUGAGAGGUUGAACGGCCACAUUGGGACUGAGACACGGCCCAGACUCCUACGGGAGGCAGCAGUGGGGGAUAUUGCACAAUGGGGGAAACCCUGAUGCAGCGACGCCGCGUGGAGGAAGAAGGUUUUCGGAUUGUAAACUCCUGUCGUUAGGGACGAUAAUGACGGUACCUAACAAGAAAGCACCGGCUAACUACGUG